rnacentral:lncRNA from 1 species
AGUCCUAUUUAUACCUUAUCCUACUACUUUAGACCUUUUAGAAUGUUUCUAGGUUGUAGGCCCUCUCUAAACAACUACCUUAAACACUUUUUUAUAGAAUUUUUUAUGAUAGGCUCUACCUAAGUAAUUGCCUUCAAUCUUCUCUAAAAUGUUCCAUGCUAGAUCCUACUUAGUUUACUAAUCUAACCUCAAUUCUAGAAACUUCUAUGGUUCUAAUUAUCUAUAUAAUUAUCUUAUCUUUACCUUGUUACAAUUAAUCUCCCU